rnacentral:rRNA from 1 species
AUGGAUCAAGCUACUAAGGGCAUACGGUGGAUGCCUAGGCGCCAAGAGCCGAUGAAGGACGUGGAUGGCUGCGAAAAGCCUCGGGGAGCUGCCAUCAAGCGUUGAUCCGGGGAUCUCCGAAUGGGGUAACCCGCUCAGGCGAACCCUGAGCACCACUGGCUGAACACAUAGGCCAGUUGGAGGGAACGGGGGGAACUGAAACAUCUUAGUACCCCCAGGAAAAGAGAUCAUUCCCUGAGUAGUGGCGAGCGAAAGGGGAAAAGCCCAAACCCGCUGCAUGCCAAAGGCUGCAGCCGUUGUGCAGCGGGGGUUGUAGGGCCCGACAGGGGCCGCUGCAGAGGCCCCAGGGAGUUACAAAUCUGAUUCCUAGCGGAACCGUCCUGGAACGGCGGGGCAAAGAGGGUGAGACCCCCGUACGCGAAAGGGAUCAGACUCCCGUCGGUGACCCUGAGUACCGCGGGGCACGCUAAUCCUGCGGGAAGCCGGGAAGUCCACUUCCCAAGGCUAAAUACUCUUGGCGACCGAUAGUGCACAAGUACCGUGAGGGAAAGGUGAAAAGAACCCCGGUGAGGGGAGUGAAAUAGAACCUGAAACCGUAUGCCUACAAUCAGUCGGAGGACUAUGCCAGCGCAAGCUGGAAGGUCUGACGGCGUGCCUCUUGGAGCAUGAGCCGGCGAGUUACUCUCUGUGGCGAGGUUAAGGGAGUCACACCCGGAGCCGCAGCGAAAGCGAGUCUGAAUAGGGCGCUUAGUCGCAGGGAGUAGACCCGAAACCGAGUGAGCUACCCAUGGCCAGGGUGAAGCGGGAGUAACGUCCCGUGGAGGCCCGAACCCACUAACGUUGCAAAGUUAGGGGAUGAGCUGUGGGUAGAGGUGAUAUGCCUAACGAACUCGGAGAUAGCUGGUUCUCCCCGAAAUAGCUUUAGGGCUAGCCCCAGGCGUUCAGUAGCGGAGGUAGAGCACUGGAUUGGCUAGGGGGCUUCACCGCCUACCAAACCAAACCAAACUCCGAAUGCCGCUACUCGAGAGCCUGGGAGUUGGACUACGGGAGAUAACUUUCGUAGUCGAGAGGGAAACAACCCAGACCGCCGGAUAAGGUCCUCAAGUGUGAGCUAAGUGGGAAAGGAAGUGGGACUACUGAGACAUCCAGGAGGUUGGCUUAGAAGCAGCCAUCCUUUAAAGAGUGCGUAAUAGCUCACUGGCCUAGUGGUCCUGCGCCGAAAAUGUAACGGGGCUCAAGCUCACCACCGAAGCCGCGGGUUGCUGUCCUACAGAGGGCAGUGACGGUAGGGGAGCGUUCUGUCCAGCGUUGAAGCCCGACCGUGAGGACGGGUGGAGCGGGCAGAAGUGCGAAUGCCGGCAUGAGUAGCGUGAAACAUGCGAGAAACAUGUUCGCCGUAAGCCUAAGGUUUCCGACGGAAGGUUAAUCCGCGUCGGGUUAGUCGGGCCUAAGCCGAGGCCGAGAGGCGUAGGCGAUGGACAACGGGUUAAUAUUCCCGUACCACCUGGGUGGAGCGAUGGGGGGACGCAGAAGGGUAGGCCAGCCUGCGACUGGAAGUGCAGGUGCCACGCUUGUAGGGAGAUGACGGCGAUAGGGAAACCCGUCGCCCGAUCCUGAGGAGCAGUGGGGAGCCGCAAGGCGAACUGGCUGAGCCCAUGCUGCCGAGAAAAGCCUCUAAGCGUUGAAACCCAGGUGCCCGUACCGCAAACCGACACUGGUAGGCGGGUAGAGUAUACCAAGGCGAUCGGGAGAACCCUCGUUAAGGAACUAGGCAAAAUGGCUCCGUAACUUCGGGAGAAGGAGCGCCCUAGUAGGGUGAAGCAGCUUGCCUGCCGAGCCCGAGGGGGCCGCAGAGAAAUGGCCCUGCCGACUGUUUAACAAAAGCACAGGUCUCUGCUAAAGCGUAAGCUGAUGUAUAGGGGCUGACGCCUGCCCAGUGCCGGAAGGUUAAGGGGAAGGGUUAGCCGCAAGGCGAAGCUCUGAACCGAAGCCCCGGUGAACGGCGGCCGUAACUAUAACGGUCCUAAGGUAGCGAAAUUCCUUGUCGGGUAAGUUCCGACCCGCACGAAUGGCGUAACGAGUGGGGCACUGUCUCAACGAGGGACCCGGCGAAAUUGCAUUAGGUGUGAAGAUGCGCCUUACCCGCAGAAGGACAAAAAGACCCCGUGGAGCUUUACUGCAGCUUGGCAUUGAGCUAGGGCAUGGUCUGUGUAGGAUAGGUGGGAGACUGUGAAGCCGGGGCGCCAGCCUCGGUGGAGUCGCCCUUGAAAUACCACCCUGAUCAUGUCUUGGCCCUAACCUGCGACCGUUAUCCGGCGCGGGGACAGUGCCAGGUGGGCAGUUUGACUGGGGCGGUCGCCUCCUAAAAGGUAACGGAGGCGCCCAAAGGUCCCCUCAGGCUGAAUGGAAACCAGCCGUAGAGUGUAAAGGCAUAAGGGGGCUUGACUGCGAGACCUACAAGUCGAGCAGGCACGAAAGUGGGGCUUAGUGAUCCCACGGUUCCGUGUGGAAGGGCCGUGGCUUACCGGAUAAAAGCUACCCCGGGGAUAACAGGCUAGUCUCCCCCAAGAGUUCACAUCGACGGGGAGGUUCGGCACCUCGAUGUCGGCUCGUCACAUCCUGGGGCUGGAGUCGGUCCCAAGGGUUGGGCUGUUCGCCCAUUAAAGUGGCACGCGAGCUGGGUUCAGACCGUCGUGAGACAGGUCGGUCUCUAUCCUCUGCGGGCGCAGGUGACUUGAGAGGAGCUGCCUCUAGUACGAGAGGACCGAGGUGGACAGACCGCUGGUGUGCCAGUUGUCCCGCCAGGGGCAUCGCUGGGUAGCCACGUCUGGCAGAGAUAACCGCUGAAAGCAUCUAAGUGGGAAACUCGCCUCAAGAUUAGGUCACCCACCGGGUUAACCGGGUAAGGCCGCAGGUAGACUACCUGCUUGAUAGGCGGCACGUGUAAGCGCAGCAAUGCGUUUAGCGAAGCCGUACUAAUGGCCGAGGGCUUGAUCCAUCUUCCAU